AUUGAACGCUGGCGGCAUGCCUUACACAUGCAAGUCGAACGGCAGCACGGGAGCAAUCCUGGUGGCGAGUGGCGAACGGGUGAGUAAUAUAUCGGAACGUGCCCAGUCGUGGGGGAUAACGUAGCGAAAGCUACGCUAAUACCGCAUACGAUCUAUGGAUGAAAGCGGGGGAUCGCAAGACCUCGCGCGAUUGGAGCGGCCGAUAUCAGAUUAGGCAGUUGGUGAGGUAAAGGCUCACCAAGCCGACGAUCCGUAGCUGGUCUGAGAGGACGACCAGCCACACUGGGACUGAGACACGGCCCAGACUCCUACGGGAGGCAGCAGUGGGGAAUUUUGGACAAUGGGCGCAAGCCUGAUCCAGCAAUGCCGCGUGCAGGAUGAAGGCCUUCGGGUUGUAAACUGCUUUUGUACGGAGCGAAGAGGCUUCCACUAAUACUGGGGGCUCAUGACGGUACCGUAAGAAUAAGCACCGGCUAACUACGUGCCAGCCGCCGCCGUAACAC
rnacentral:rRNA from 1 species